rnacentral:rRNA from 1 species
GACAGAGGGUGCAAACGUUUGUUCGGAAUUACUGGGCGUAAAGCGCGUGUAGGCGGCUUCGCAAGUCGGAUGUGAAAUCCCACGGCUCAACCGUGGAAGUGCAUUCGAAACUGCAAGGCUAGAGUUCUGGAGAGGAAGGUGGAAUGCUUGGUGUAGAGGUGAAAUUCGUAGAUAUCAAGCGGAACACCGGUGGCGAAGGCGGCCUUCUGGACAGUAACUGACGCUGAGACGCGAAAGCGUGGGGAGCAAACAGG